CGAAAGAGAGCCGUAACACAGGUGCUGCAUGGCUGUCGUCAGCUCGUGUCGUGAGAUGUUGGGUUAAGUCCCGCAACGAGCGCAACCCUUGUCAUUAGUUGCUACAUUCAGUUGGGCACUCUAAUGAGACUGCCGGUGACAAGCCGGAGGAAGGUGGGGAUGACGUCAAGUCCUCAUGGCCCUUAUAGGUGGGGCUACACACGUCAUACAAUGGCUGGUACAAAGGGUUGCCAACCCGCGAGGGGGAGCCAAUCCCAUAAAGCCAGUCGUAGUCCGGAUCGUAGUCUGCAACUCGACUACGUGAAGUCGGAAUCGCUAGUAAUCGUGGAUCAGAAUGUCACGGUGAAUACGUUCCCGGGUCUU
rnacentral:rRNA from 1 species